GAAAUUAAAAGGACGCAGUAGCCUUGACUGUGAUAAUGUAGCAUAAUCACUUGCCAUUUAAUUAAUGGAUAGUAUGAAUGGUUUAACGAACACUACACUAUCUAAAAAAUAGAUCUCAUGAAAAUGAAAUAAUAGUAAAGAUGCUAUUUAUAAUUGUAAGACGAAAAGACCCUAUAGAGCUUAACUAUAAUCCUUCUAAAAAUAGAAAUAUAAAAUAUUAAUUAAAGGAGGAUUGGUAGUUUAGUUGGGGCGACUAUUUUCUAAAAAAAACGAAAAUAAACAAUAUUAAUAAUAUAAUUUAUUGUAUAAAUAACAUAUUUAACAAUUACUAAAGUAGGUUAUAAUGACCUGUUAUUUUCACAUAAAAGAAAUAACAAUUAAUGAAUAAAAGCUACCUUAGGGAUAACAGGAUAAUUUUAUUUUAGAGAUCCUAUCGAAGAUAAAGUUUGUCACCUCUAUGGUGAAUUAAGGAA
rnacentral:rRNA from 1 species